GAACUACAAUCUCGUAAUUUUUCCCACUAUAAAUUUUUUAUGUAAAAAUCUAUAACUCUUAUAAUUAAUUUUUACUUUAAAUUUAUUAAUUUAUUUUUCACCUAUUUAUUUAUGAUAAACAUCCUAUUUUAAUCAGAUAAGGAGAAAAAAAAUUAUUUCCGUAAGUAGUCCUUUCCCAACAUAAUUCUAUACAUAAAUUUCUCAAUUUAUUUAUGCACUUAAAAAGCUGGACAUGUAGAUCACAAAACCUUAACAUACACAUUGCGCUAGGCACACAUCAUUAUAAUUACAGGAUCUGAACAUCAAUGACCUUGCGCUCCACAUGGGUCUUAGGAAUUGAAAUGUAAAGAACACCAUUCUUCAGCUCUGCAUCUCAAUUUAUUUAUACACUUACAAAGCUGGACAUGUAGAUCACAAAACCUCAACAUACACAUUUCGCUAGGCACUCAUUAUUAUAAUUACAGAAUCUGAACAUCAAUGACCUUGCGCUCCACCUUUGUCUUAGGAAUUGAAAUGUAAAGAACACCAUUCUUGAGCUCUGCCUUGACCUUAUCUUUCUCACAGUUAUCAGGAAGCUGGAGACGAGUAUCGUAAGAGCUAAAACUUGCACCUCCAGCUUCUUCUGCCCUGUGCUCUCCUUUAAUGACAAGGACUUCAUCUUCCACCGACACUUUGACAUCCUCCUUAGAGAGUCCAGGCAUGUCAAAUCUCAUUUUGAUCUCAUUUUCCUCCUCUUUGAUGUCCCACGGUGUUCUCACCUGGCCUCCCCCGCCAGCCCGGCUCCUCCCCGGAAAAGCCAUCGUAUCCUCUAAUAGACGGUCCAUUGUGUCCAGCAUCUGCCGCAUUGUCCUCGUUGGAAACGAGGGAUCCAUCAAACCUGCAACCCAAAGUCGUACAUUUUUUAGAAUUGGGUAAUUAAAUCGGUGUUCAAUUUACUUCCAAACCUUAUGAUUUAACAUAAUCAGUAUUUUAUUAACUAUAAAAUCAUGCAAAGGCAACUGCUCAAUACCCCUAGCAGCCGCAACGCAAACUAACAUAGUCUAACAGAGCAUGUAAAACUUGUAUUAUUUAAAUCACUGAAUCCUACAGGCAACGGACGAAGGCAAAGACAAAUUUAAUUCGCUGAACUUACCGAAAGGUGAAAUAUCGAGAGCCGUUCUUCGAGGCCUCCUCUCCACUUGGGUUCCUUGGUUACCGGAAUUAACAUGGACGUCAACCGAAGUAUCCUUGUUCUCCCCACCAGCCUGAGCUCUCACGGCUUGUAGCCGAUAGGCGCCUUUCCUUGACGUUGCCGGUAAGGUUACCGAGCAUGGCGCCACAUUUCUCCUAGCUAUUGAGGUCCUGGCCUCGCGCGAUACCAAGGGUGAUGAUGAUGAGAUAGAUAAUGUUGCAGCCAUUUAUUUUCACUUUGUUUUCUGAGCACUUGAGAGAAUCGACCGAUGGUUUCGUGGAGUGAGGAGUGGAGAUAUAUAUACACACACACACACAGAGGGAGAGAGAGGCAAUCAAUGAGAUGUGAACAAGUGUGAAAGAUUGGAGAGGCAUCAUGAAACUUGUAGAGUACGAAAAUUCUGGACUCAACGCCCAUCAUCCACCAUCCAAAUUAUACGUGAUUAUACUUUUGUGUCUUCUUCUUUCUACUGGUUUCUCAUCCAUUCGGGAAGCAUCGCGAAUGAAAAACUUUUUAUUUACAAUUGGACCCUUAUAUUUUAUUGUAUUUUACUUAAAAGGACCCGGAUCAUGCUUUCAAUUGUCCCAUACAUAGUACAAGUUGCACUGUUUUCAAUUUUUUACUAGUGAAUAGUGAAAAUUAAGCAACAUUCAUUGAGUACUAAUAACUUUUUUUUUUUUUAUAGUACAAGUUGCACUGUUUUUAAGCAACAUUCAUUGAGUACUAAUAACUAAGCAACAUUCAUUGAGUACUAAUAACUUUUUUUUUUUUUUAAAGUCCGGUAACAUACACCAAACUACCAAUGAAUUAAAAAUAUGGAAACGUUAAUAUUGGAAGACAUUCCGUUAACAGUCCCCCAGGACAGGGCCAAAUUAUUGGUGAAAAUAAAAAAAAUCUUUCCCCGUCGAGCUAAAAGUUCAGAGUAGAAACUAUGGAAUAGGCUUUCUAAUAGUUGACAAGGAAUUUGAUUGGACUUCAUAUGCACCGAGUAGGAAAUACAUUUAGACAAAAUGCGUUCAGUUACAAUUGUUACAAUUGUUACAACUUCCAGAACGCAUCUUGUUACAAUUGUUACAAUUAUUUUAAAUUCAGUUACAGACAUCCAACGGUUCUGGAGACUAUUCUACGUUGGAGCUGCUCCAACCGUAGCAACUGCCAUGCAAAAAUAAUGUUGCUCUUUACCUCUUUCAUUGGUGCUAUAUGAGGAUCGAUUAUAAACUUUGAAUUUCAAAUUUUGUAAGCUUACCAAAACUAUUGAAUAAAUCAUAAGACUGCGUAUGCGAAGUUGUAUUAGAUGGUAAAUACAUUUACAGUCCUUGUACAGUCGUAUGGUAACAAACUUUAAAUAGCUAUUUUUUGAGUUUACUAAUUGGCAUUUGGUCGGUAAAAUACCUACCCGUCCAUACAGAAACACCAAGAAACCAGAGUAUACAAAAUGCUAUAACUCAAGCCACAAUAUAAACUGAAGAUCUACACACGGCUGGAAUGAAAUUCCCAGCCAAAAAAGACAAGAAUGAAAACACUCGAAUGUGGAUCAAACGCGUCCAGGAAGUCUCUUAGAUAAAAUCAGAACCACCCGGGCGAAACUCCAGGUCUGGAUGAGUCCGAUCAGGCCCUCGUGGGUUUCUGCUAGUACAAGAAAGCAAAAAAUGUCAGAUUUCCACACUAUCUUAAUCUGAUCUCUGUUUGUGUUCAAACAAUAGUGUGCCAAAUUUAUUGAAAGAAUCCCUUAAUGAUCAAACUCAAAGGUCGGCACCAGUUGCUAGAAAAAGCUUCAGAAAAGGGGCAAUAGCAAGAAUAUUUUCAUAUUUAUUUGUAAGUGCAGAAAAGUCGCUAAAAUAUGUGUUCAGCAACUCUUCACGUGCCUAAUGCAAAAUGAAAUACAUGUCCCAAAUACCAACAUUUUUCUUUCUUUAUUUUCUCUUUUCUAAUUCAUUCAACUUGAACUCCCAAAAAAUGGACCAUCAUAUGCAAUUUUUCAUCAAGUACAAAUCCUGCAUAUGGAACAUGAAAAGUUUCAUAAUUUUAUCAAAUAGUGAUGGCAUAAAUUCUUCAAAUGAACCACAACAGACCAGAUAUCACCAUCAGUUCAGGCUGAAUCACUAGAUUGAGCUAACUAUUAAUCACCCUAGACCACAAAAUCAAUGAGCCAAAUGAAGGUUAUGUAGACAAAUACAACUUAUAACCGUAUGUUUACAUGAGGAAUGCUGAAUUUCACUCUUCCCUCAAUUUUCUUCUGUAAGUUACCAUGUUAUAAGACCAUGAGAAUCUUAAUUCACAUAUACCUGACAAAACGAUUAGGUUCAAAUCCAGGUAUGCCAGGCGGGCCGUAGGGAUCAAAACGAGCACCUGGAGGAACAGGCCUGCAUCACAAAUCCAAAAGAAUCAGAUCCCACACAGAUGCUAAUUUCAAAUAAGCCAAGACAUUUUCUUAAGAACUCACGGGUUCCCUCCAGGAAAACUAGGGUCUCCACCAAAAAAGCCAGGAUGAUCAGGUCCUGUGUCCACAUGAUAAAAGUCAGUAAGUCUGGAGAGGUGACAAACUUAUAUCAAACAACUUAGUAAAACAAGCCUUGUCUUACGGACCUAUUAGCAUGCUCCCAUCACCGCCAAAGCCACCCCUGAAAGGCAGUUAAAAUAGACAUAUACAUGUUACAAUUACAAAGAAUAGUAAUGACAAACAAUUAAUGAUUUCAGAUAGUGACACGCAGUUAAAAUAGACAUAUACAUGUUACAAGUAGAAUGAAAUAGCAAUGACAAACAAUCAAUAAUAUGGAUACUAACAUACCUUCUAGGAUACAUUCCAGCACCAGGGCCAGGAAAAAGAUCGCUACUACGACUUGGGUUGAUAGGAGGAACAGGAAUUCUACAAAGCAAAUUACCACACAAAGUUAGAGUCUCUGGGUUAUCAUAGCGAAAGGGGUGAUCAAAGGGAGGAAUUGCCAAUAAUUAUUCAAUUCAAGCCCAGAGAUUCCGGAAAUCUGGUAAGUUUGGCAUAUGAGCAUCCAAACUUGCUAUUUAAUCAACAGGCAAGCGCAGAACAUUAUAUUUUGUACUUCAAAAUAGCAUGGGAAAUUUACGACCAAGCACCAAAAGCCUCAUCCUUUGUUAGAACAGAAACAAAUGGUCACAGUAAACAGACCAUCACUACCCAAUUUCAAGAUAUGAAAGAUUAUUGGGUACUAAGACUCAAAGACAACAUUAUUCUGCUAGCCCAUCGUCAAUUACCAUAAAUAGUCACUCACAUUAACAACAGAGUUCAUAAUAAUUGAAGAAAUUUUUUAAUGCAUCAUAUAAUGAAUCUGUAGCAAUUGCAAUGUAUUAAUCCAAGUCCCAUGAAGAUACAGGGAAUAAAAUUAGUCAACGAUAGUAAGAUUAGCUUUUCAGCCAAGAAUGGGAUUAUCCCCGAAAGCCCCCUUCAGACUUACACCCCCACGCCCAACACCCCUUCCCCCNNNNNNNNNNNNNNNNNNNNNNNNNNNNNNNNNNNNNAAAAAAAAAAAAAAAGAAAAGAAAACACCCAAAAGAAAGAAAAAGACAAAAAGAAUAGCAAAGAUUAACCCUGUAACAUAAGAUUGAGGCCCUUCAUGCUCAAAUCCAAAAGCAGGAUCGGUUACAAUAGGCCUUGAUCCUUCACAUCUUUCCGAGCUGCAAAGCACCACAAAAUUCCGUGAAAAGCUUAUUUAAAAGAUGGCAUCCUUGUUGUGCAUCUCUAGGCAGAUCAAAAUAAAAAAAUAACAAUAAAAAUGAAAAUAAAUAAAACAUAUAACAGCUUCAAAUUUCAGCGAAAAGAAUAUAACUCUCAACACAAUACUCCACUUUGGAAAAUUAGGUGUACACUGAAUCAUUGACAAGAAAGCUACAUUUCAAUGCGAAAUAUAUAGCAAAGAAAUAAGAAGCAAUUUUUUAAUUCUCCAAAUCAUUCAGGAGUAGAAUUCAAAACUUGCUUCAUAUAUUCGUAUCAUAUUGGUAAUCGAACAAAAUCAAUACACGCUCAACUGUUCCUAUAAAAACAUAUAAAUUGAACCACAAUGUUGAUCUAGACCCUAGCUUCAGGAUCAACAACAACAACUCUUAUAAAUUUAGUCAUCCAACAUGGUUUACAUAUAUCAUUCACAAAACCAAUGAAAAACAUGAUAUCAUCAUCUUUUUUCUGAUUAUCCUGUAUGCCUAAAUUGCAAUUAGUUUUUUGUUCUCAAAUACAACUGACUCAUUAUAUCCAAACUUUAGGGAACUCACCUAGCUGUUUUUGGGGAGCCGUAUAAUUUUGAAAUAAUGUCUUUAUCAAGAUCUGUCACAAGCUUCUCUAAAUUCUUGAACUUAUCAGAGUAAUUGCCUCCAUUUUCUGCAACGUAGUCUGCAACACUGUUACAAAACACCACCACAGCAUUAACAAUAUAACAAAUAUACAAAAUUGCAAAACAAAGAGAGGAUCCAAAAUCCAAACGCGUACUUGAUUUCGAGAUGCACAGGCUCCGAAGCUCCCUCAGCUAAUGCAUCAGCCAGCAAUUUACUGUUCAUCACGAGACACUUCACCAACACUUUCUUUGAACCUUUCUCAGGGUUUAUAAACAGAAACGCGUAAUUAUCAUCAGCUAGUUCGUUCCAGUGAUCAAUUCCUACUUCAUCUACACAACCACAAAGACACAGCCGUUUAGUAAUUAAAAAAAUAAAAAAAUAAUGAGUAAAUAAAAUAAAAUAUUAUUUUGCUGAAGUAAUUCAUUUCAGUACCGGUGGAGGAGGAGGGAGAGGUGAACUCGGUGUCCGCGGCAGGGCCAGUGGCGGUUAACACGUGUCCACUGGCAAGGAAAGAGGCGUGAACGACAAAUGCAAUUUUAUCGAAGUCGUUUCUAAAGGUAGGUCUUGCCGCUCUUAUCACGGCCAUCACUGAUUUCUCGUUCGGCAUUUUUUUUUAAUCUUUUUCCUUUCUUUGUUUUUAGAGUUUAUGAGAGAGCGAGGUCUUGUUUCGAAUGUCUGCAAAUUUGAUGGUGUGUUUAGUCGAGGGUUAAGGAAUAAGAAUGAAAGAAUGAUAAUAAAAUUAAAUUAAAUUUUUAAAUGUAAUUUGGUGAUACAAAUAAAAUGUGUGGUUAAUAUAAUUUAAGAAUAAAAAAUAAGAAUUUUAUUUUUAUGGGCAUUGGGAAUAAGAGCGAAGGAAUGAGAAUAAAAUUUAUUUUUAGUUUUUUUUUUUUUUUUUUGAAUUAAAAUUAAUAAAAUUUAUUAAUAAUAAUAUUUAAAAUAACUGCUGUACGGCCANNNNNNNNNNNNNNNNNNNNNNNNNNNNNNNNNNNGCCAAGGCGGAUGUACGGUACAGCAGUUAAUUCAAAUUUUUAUUUUUAUUUUUAUUUAUUUUAUUAAAUAAACACAUUAAUAACAUUCUAAUACAUUUAUAUUCUCAUUUAUUUUACCAAAUAAAUAUUAAAAUCACAUUAUCAUUCUUUAUUUUUAUCUCAAUUUAUUCCCAGCCAUUAUCAUUUUACGUUAUUCCCAAAGUAAAGCACCACGAGUGAAAAUAGAUAGUUAACUCGCGUUUUCAGCUACUUCGUGUUUCGCUCUGGGCUGGCCCGGAAAGAGUAUCUUUUCUGAAGUUGACAAGCAUACUUAGCCUGCAAGCAAUUGAUUAUUUAAAUGCAAUUUAAUAAUAGGAAAAUGAUCCAUAUUCUACGCGUACAAACUAGAUAUUACCAAUUAGUACAAGAAGAUAUAUACGCAGAGAAAAGGACGUUGACAUCACCAUUCGAUGAAAUAGUCGAAGAAAUUUUUAUAUUUUUAAAAAUAAUUAUGCAUAUAUUUUUUUUUUACAUAUAAAAGUUUUUUGAUAAAAUUUGAGGGUGUACAUAAGUUUAUUGCGAUUAUUGUUUAAUAUUGAAAAAAAUUACGCGUCUAAAAUAUGAUUAUUUUAAAAUACAAGAAUGAGUAUGCAUAUCUUAAAAAAAAAUCGGUAUGACUAAUUCGAAAACUAAGAGGCUAUUUUAUGCCUGAUGUUGCUGAAAAGAAAUAUAAGAAUAGACAGAUUGUGCACAUAAAUUAAUCAACGUAGUUGGUUACAGCAAGGCACGUAAUAGCCACGUAUCCUUUGGACCCAUUGGGAGCAUAGUGAGAACACAUUCAUAUCAUUUGUAACAGUUGUAGUUUCCUUGUUGAGGGUAUCUGUGUCGGGAUCACAGGCUUGGAAAAUCUAGUAAAUUUUCCUAGAAAGUAUAGUACAUAUCAAACGGCUCUUUUUUUUUCAUUUCUUUUUUUCUUUUCCCACUUAUAUGACCGUUGGCUUCCUUUAACUAUCAUUGUGUCAUGUUUGAUAUGUCUGAGGCCGAGCAGCAAAGCCGGAACAAGAUGGUUUUGGUAAGUGACACAACGUCAACAACGACGACGAGUAAAUACAGCAAGAUCUUUGUUGGAGGAUUGGCUUGGGAGACUCGAACUGAAACCAUGAAGCAUUAUUUUGAGCAGUUUGGUGAUAUCCUUGAAGCCGUCGUCAUUACUGAUAGGGUUACUGGAAAAUCAAAAGGAUAUGGCUUUGUAAUUUUUAUUCCCCGUCUCAUCUCUUCUCUUUCUUUGCAGCCCUAUCCCUAGCUAGCUAGUUCAUUUUAUUAAGUUUGUUUGUUUAACCUCUUUUUUUUUUUAAAGGUAACUUUUAAGGAUCCGGAAUCGGCAAGGAGAGCUUGUGAGAAUCCUUAUCCAGUGAUUGAUGGAAGGCGAGCUAAUUGUAACCUCGCACACCUUGGUGCUCAUCACAAGAAACGCCCACCUCUUCUUCAUGGCAAUGUUACAGCAGCGGAACCAUCGACAGUUGAUUUUGGUCAACCACCGGUUCCUCAAUAUGCAUUUUCUUAUUCAACUUAUGGGUGAGUUAAUAUUACUGAGUCAAAAAUUUUAGAUAAAUGAUUGAAAAAUGCUACUAGGUCCCAACCGUGACGCAACGGUGACAUAAACAUAGGUGAAGCGUCCCUCUUUUGCCUUUAUUUCGUACUCUAUUUCAAACUUUCUUCCAGUGCAUUAUUCUUCUCAUCAAUUUACUGCCUGGCUACUAAUUUACGUUAUUGUUUAAUAUUAUAUGCAGAUAUCCUACUUUCUCCCAAAACAUUAAUCAUUCAAUGGUUAGUUAUGGUUCCUUUAAAUAACUUGAACAGCACCUCAUUACAAGUUUUGAUUAAAAUGAAAGUGGGUGUACUCUGCGCAGAAUUAUUACAAUGCUUAUUACGGUGGGCUAGGGCAAGGACAACAACAGUUUUCGUCAUAUUAUCAUCCCAACAGGUUCAGGUUCCCCGGAGCUGGAGCCUAUACAAAUUACCAUCCAUUUCCAUUGUAUUUGUAUACUCAGGCUCCGGUUCCGGCUCCGGCUCAGGCUGAGCAGCAACAGAGUAGCCCAAAUCAGCACCCCAAAAUGGUUCAUUUCCCUUAUUUUCCCCAGCAUUUCCCAUCAUCGCUCCCUGUUACUGGUAAAUUAUACAUCUUAUUACAUUUUCAUAUCUAUGAACUACUUCGAUCCCAUCUUACGUGCUACAAUUUACAAAUUUUCAAAAUAAAACUUGAAAAGUUCAACAGAAUUAAAGUAUAUUGCAAUUUGCCACAGAAAAUGUAGCAGCAGGGGCAAUGCAGCCAGGGACUAGGACUGGGACUGGGACUACCUCUCUACGAGACAACACCAAGGGUUAACGAGAGUAGUCUUUCCAUAUUCAUUAUACAAAAAAUUUUUAUGUUGAAUGACCAGAUAUAGAAACUAUCUCUUUCAAGUCAUGAAGCUUCUGCUGAUCAAAAUUCACAUUUCACAUUCUAAAGAGAGGAGAAUUGAAAACUUUUUUUUUUUUAACACAGGCUUUUCUUAACUAAACUUAAAAAAGAAUUUUUUUUUUUUUUUUAAGGAAGAGUAGUGCAAGACAUAUCAAAAUUUUGGGAUUGUUCAUUAUUUUAACCAAAUUUUAUUAUAUUCUUACAAUAAAGAUGCAAGAGUGGAGAGUCAACCACCAAGUAAGAUGCAUGCAAACCAUAACAAGAAACUAGCAGACACAGAUAAGAAUAAAGAGCGUAAAUAUCGUGAAGAAGAAAAACAUUGCAGAAUAUUUCAAAGUCUUCAGUUGUUAGAUAUUUCUAACAUAUCAGUUUCAGGGACCACCCCAACAGAAUUCAAAAUGAUGUGAAACAUAGAUUUAAUGCAUUCAUAUCCUCAAAAUCCCAUAACUACCAAACUCUAUAAGGCAUCAACUCGAGAGAUAUGUCAUAAAUAACCCCUUAGAGGUGACAGAGAUACCGGGCCGAGACACAUAAGACUAAAGAUAAACAUAGUCACCACAAGUACCUCGAAAGAUAUUUUCUGUAUCUAUGUAUAUAUGCAUGUAAAGAUAGUAUUGGCAGUUGAUCAAUCCACAGAACAUUCAAGAGCAUCACUCAAUGCAAGGGCGGGCGGGGAGCCCGUGGACGAACUGGAGUCUUGGAGGGGCUAACCCUGCAUAUAGAAAACAUUGAGAAAUUUCAGAAUAGAAACUGAAUGGAAAUUUAUAUCAUUUAUAACUGAACAGUCCGCCAAAACAACCUUAUAGGCAGUGAUCCCAAGACAGCACCACUACAGUUAAGAGCCGCAAUCGCACUCUCAGCCUGCGAGAGCAAAAUUACAGCAUUAAACUUAGUAGCAUAAAUAAAAAACUAAGAGAUCUUUUCAUGAUAUAAAUUUCCAUAUAACAAAAAGAAUAAGAUCUCCAUAUAACAAAAAAACCUCAAUAAAAUAAUAAACAAAAAGAAUUCUAGCCGAUUACCAUCCCUCAAGUUUAGGUCAUUUUUCUAUUGCCAAACUUUAUAAGGCCUACAAAGGCAGGAACCUAUUCCACAAAGGCAUGCAUCACGUAUCCAAUCACUGAGGGAAAGCGGGAAAACGAGGAAUGUUCUUCUCUUAAGUGGUCCAAGAACUCUUAAGAACCAUACUAACAAUAUGUAUACGCCAUAAUACAAAAUGAUGAGGGAAAACAAAGAAGGAAUUGCUAGGAAGAUAAAGAUCAAACAAGAAGAAUAAAACGAAAGGGGAAAGGAGAAGGGAGAGUAGAGAAUUUCCCAACAAAACAUAUCAAACAACAAUUAAUUAGGCAUUCUUAAUUGGCACAUCCAAAUUCCAAACACAUGUAGUGCAGUAACAGCAAUGUUGUAGCACUCUUCCAGAGAGCCACCACAACAAUAUCUAAAAUUCGCUCUUCAGGCCAGUGGUGCUGAUACCCCUUUUCUUUAUUAGGAUAGGAACGCACUCAAAAUUUCCAUAUUUGCAACCUUUCAUGCAUGUCUCAUUACAAAACUAGUGACAGACCCAACUUUCGCUACAGAUUACCAGAGCAUGAAUUAAUAAAGACAGAAUACAAAAUGCACAACUGCCAGGAACAGACAUUAGAAUACAAAUUAUGUAUCUUAUACAUGCUGGGACUGAAGUUAUGGGUCUAAACUUUUAAAAUCUACAAACUAAAAGGGUCAACAAGCAAACAAAUACAUCUUUCUCAAAGAAGAAGAAGAAAAGCAAACAAGUACAUUCACAACCAUUAUCAUCUCUAGAUGGUCCUACAGGGAAACACUAUAUAAUCAACAAUUAUAUACAAGACAGACCCCCAAAAAUAAAAAUAAAAAGAAGAAGAAAAAGAAAUAGAAUAAGCGCAUAAGCAAAAGAGAGAGAAACCAUACAAGGUGAGUCAUUGAAAUUUUAUAUUCAUAAUACUGUAAAGAAUGGUGAGUUAUGCUAUAGCUCAGUUGUGAAAGGAUAGAAAGACAGUACAAAGAAUCGAAGAUGACAAGAAUAGGAGGCAUAUACAUAAAUGGCCUGCCUAAGCAUAGGUAGGGAACACCAAUCACACAGUAUACUGCCAACCACAAUACCAAAUUGAACCUAAACCUUGCAAAAGAAUCUGAUUAUAAGGAGUUAGAUAUCUGAAGAGCUGUGAACCCCAAAUAGCAAAUGUACAACGUACCACAUCCUAACACUAACCCAUAUCCUCAGUUGAAAGCAGAUCCAACAAAAUAGCUAGCCAACAAUAAACACCAAACUACUUGGUCUCCAACCACUGAGAUGUCUUGAGUUUUCCAUGCCCAAGAAUUUGUUAUAAGACACUUGCAACACCUGAAAAGCUGUGCUUCCUCUUCAACCUUUUCAGAAGAUGAAGGUUGUUGAACUAUCGUUGGGACAGUAGUGCCAAACAUGAAAAUCAGGAUAAUGAGUGAGAUUCCCAGCUAUGAUUGCUCUAACCUUGGAAGCUCUAUGCCUUAUAGCCUUAGGGUUCCUAUAUUCAAUUUCUUCCCAGCCCUUGCCUAGCUCUGAAUUGGCAUCUGCAACUGAUAACCACAGCCUAUCCCCAGUAAACUUCAGCUUAUGUAGAUUUGCACAUAAAAGGCAUAAUGGACACCAUUUCAAAAGAAUAAAAAUGAGAGCCCAAUGGUCCUCAUUCCAAAAGAGUCCUCACCUCAACAAUUGAAAGCACGUCAUUUCUAUUUUCAGCAUACCCAAGCCUUGAAACAAUGUUUGAGAAGAUUUUAUGCCUUUGCAUGGUUUAAAUAAGAUUUGACUUCAUUUAGAGAAAGAAACCAUCCUCCCUCACACAUCCCAGCCCACCCCUCCUUUCUAACUCUCUCAACUCAGGUAAUCACUCAAGAAUUUGCCAUUUUAGCAGUGGAAAAAUUUUCUCCUACAAUUCCCAUUUCCCAAAUCUCUUAGAUAAAUGGCCAGUGACACAUGUUGCUAACUAUGAUAAGAAAUGAUUAGGAACACAUAUGGACAUGAGAGCAUGCUUGGAGUCCUAUAUAAAGGAGAAAAGAAUUGCUGAUAUGAACAAAAACUUCCAGUUCCCAUGCCUUCUAGUGUUACCAGCACCACACAAAUAUAGAACUAGCUUUCUUAUUUCUACACAAACAUAAUUACUAAAUUUAUCACAAAAUGGCAUAUUUAAAUGACAAAACUCUCCUUUUCAAAAAGACAAAACUCUAUUUUCCAUAAUUCAUGCAAAGAUCGUCUCAUUAUGACAAAUAGUCCGAUGUUCAGCUGCCAUUAUUAGGUGUUGCUUAAAAAUACAAAUUCUAAAUGAUCCAAUUCAUAAACAGUAAAAAUAAACCAACAACAAAAUUAAAGAAAGAAACAGGACUUAGAAAGAUAAAUUUACAAAACCGAGAUGGAAGCUAUCUUUUCUCCAAUGCCUUAUAAUCUUGUCACUAAUUGCACUUUCAUGAAUUUUUCCAAAACUUUUAAAAGUAAUGUAGAAUGAGAAAACUCUACUAAAACAAGAUCUAACAUUCUCAUUGUUGACAGUAAGAAGUCCAUCUCAGUACAAGAAAUUAAAGAAUUCUCAAAGUAGUUUAGUGAGCUAAGGGGUUAAACAAAGAUAAAAAAUACCACUAAUUGUGCAUCAAGAGAACAAAAUAUAUACAUCCAGUGCAAAGGAUUCUAACCCAAAAAAGAGGCUUUUCAGUCAAAUUUGAACUACAUUCUAUGUAAACUCUAAAUAUAAUUGCUUCUGCAAUUAAUAGCAAGGACCAAGUGUUUUUGUUCAUAUAACAGGUUAUAAAAAACAAGCAUGCCAUGAAAACGGCUCGCUUACCAUCGCAAACUCAACAAAAGCAAUACGAGUUGAAUGCUGAUAGUCUCCAAGCAGCCUCAAACGUUGAACCUGCACAAAUAAAAUGUGUCCAUAAGAAACCAUGAAUAAUUGAAGGACAAAAUCACUUCAUUAGGUUGGUCAUUUAAGCAACUACAAACCUCCCCACAAACUGAUUCAAAGAAGAGUUUGAUAUCUCCUUGAGUAACCUACAUCAAUUGGACAAACAAGUCAAAAACAAAUGUAACCGGUAUUGCUCCAAAUCACAUACUACAAUAAAUGGCAAAAUAGAAAGUACCUUUUUGUCAAUAUUUGUACAAUAAAUAGUUCUUGAGCACAUCUCACGUUCAUCUUCAGACUGAUAACAUUAGAAAGCCAAUCAAUGCACCAAAAUUAAGAUCCAUGCAGCUUGAAUGUAGGGUUUUUCAAAGAAAAUGAAAUUAAACAAAACUUUAAACAUGAUACAGAACCAGAUGAUAAGCACAGAGAGAGACAAAAAAAGAAAAGACGGAGCGAGUGAGGGCAGAGAAAGAAACAGAGGGAUAAAGGAAAGGAAGAAAGGAAAAAAGAGAGAACAACAACAUGGUUUUUGGUUAACAAAAACAUACCUCCAGACGCCAAAUCUUCUUCAUGAGGUAAAUGCGAAAUUUCUACUAAAAAUAUUCAAAACAAACUUACAAAAGUUUGCAUAACACACCUAACAUGACUAAAUUUUCGAAAAAAACAAAACGGCAAAGUCAUUUGAUAUAAAAAUUUCACAUCUAACUGUCAUCUUGAAAAUUUUGAAAAUGAAGGGGCUUAAUUGCAUAAAAAUUUUGAGGAUAGUUGUUAACUAUAGUGAGGCAGGUGGUUAUAACAGAUGUCUCACCCUUGGUAAAAAGGUUGGAUUAACAGGAGCAAUUGCAGUUUUUGAAGGCAGCACUCUAACGGGAUAGAACCCAAGCAUAGUCCCAGCCAAACUCAGAGCAGCCCUUGCACCUUCUGCAAGCACAUUUUCUUUGAAAUUCAGAACAAGAACAAAUGUCUAUUAAUGAAUAUACUAUGCAUAAGCUUUUAACAAUACCUUCAUCAGUGAACUCAACGAAGGCAAAACGGAGGACGGAGUUAGGAUCACCACAGAUGCGGCAAUCAACAACCUUAGGACAGGUAAUAAUUUCAGAGCAUAAGCCACUACUAUCAAACUAUAAAGGGAAUAUGAGAGCAAAAUAAAACACAGAAUACCUGUCCACAAGUGAGAAAGAGCGUUGCAAGCUGCUCUUCAGUAACCUGACAUACAGAAAAAAUAGGGAAACAAUAGUAAACAUCAGUGCACAAUAAAAACAAACCAAAGCAUAAAAGCAAUAACUUUGCAGAAAGUUCCAGCUCUUUACCUGCUGAUCAAUGUCAGAUACAUACACAGUCCUCCUGAUUACCUCGUCUUGCUGUGCAUUACUUGUUCUACAAUUCAUCCUUCGUUUCCCUUGACUAUAACCAUUCCUCUUCUGAAAAGCAUUAUUAAAAAGACAAAGUACCGUAAUCAAAGAAAGAAAAUACCAAACUAAGAGCCAUACAAGAGGCUUAAAACAACUCAAGAUCAAAAGUAAAGGGCACACAUACCCUUCUAGUAGUAGUAUGUCCAUUGGUAUUUGCAGUGCCAUCAGUGUGCAUUAUAAAAUUAUUAGUGUACCCAAAUCCAUUAGGGCCGAAAAAGGCAGGAUUAAAAUUAAAAAUUUGACCAUUUGCAAGAGAAGGAGGCACAAAUUCAGCAGCCAUGGGAUUCAACUUGGACAGCAUAUCCACCAAAUCCCUCAUCUCGCAAUCCUUGAAACUUUCACCCAUUUUCCUUUCCAUAUGAUUAUCACUUGCAUUCACAUUCACAAACCCACCUCCAGCUCCAGCUCCAGGUUUUGUCUGCCCAUUUUGUAUCUGUAUAUUGGCAUUGCCAUUCCCACUUCUCUCCUUUGAGUGAUCGUUGGAAUUUUGUACAUCAUUUGAGUCAGAUGACACCACAGUGUCAUCCAAAUUUUGAUUCGAUGAAUCGAUCUUAGCACCAGCAUUCUCAGCGACCGCCAUGAUGAUCAGUUUCUGAGUUUUUUUUCCCCCCCCAAAAUGGGUCUCUUUUUUUUUCUGAGAUAUCUCUGUGAAAAUCUGCUCUUUUAUUAGUCAAUGAUCUAAGAUAAAUGCUUUAAAUUUAAAUAUUAAAAAAAACAAAUUUUGAGAAAAACCCAGAAUCUUGUUGAACAGCAGUGGGAGAAAGAGAGAGAGACAGAGCUCUUACCUUAUUCUCUCUUAUCUAAAAACUUUCCAUAAAUGUGAUGAUGUAAAUAUUAAGAAGCAAAGCAAAAACCAAACCAAACCAACCACCAAAACCCACCCAAAAUGAAAAGAAAAGAUAAAACUGAUGAUCACUUCCCAAAAUGAAAUUGGGUGAAACAGAAUACAAACUUUUUUGCUCUUUUAGUUUUUUUUGUAAAUUGAUAAAAAGAGGGUUUAAGAGCGACAGAUAAAGGGGUGUUUGUUUGUUUUUUAAUGCGUUGCAAAAUGCUAUCUGUGUCCCUUUUAUGUUGAUUUUCUUUGGAUCGUCCGUUAGCGGGUGUGUGCCAUCAUCAGGCAUUUGAUUCUCUCUCAUACAUCUACAUGCAUACAUGCAUACAUGCAUACAUACAUACAUUCGUAUGUCAUACAUACAUGCCCGGCAUAUCAAUUACGAGAAUAAUGUAAAUCCAAGAUUUAUCCAUAUCUUAUCUUUCCUUUUUCUAUCUAACCAAAAUUUUUUGUAUCUUUAUACGUGCUACCGAACAAAGAAUUAAAGAUAUCCAAUUAUUGAACAUAAUAAUUCAACAAACAUUAAAUUUAAAACUAAUCGCCAUGGCCGUUCAUAAACAAGCUCCAAGGAAUUCUUUUUUUUUUUUCGCACUAUACUGAAUCAUGUAUUUUGUUACCUUCAACUUUAUAACAAUAAUCGUAUUAACAUAUUAAGAUAUUUGAAUGUUUUUAUACCAUGCGGUUGCUUUAGUUCCAUAUUGAUGAAUUUUAUUAAAUUUGAUCAAUUCCAAUGAAAUAUUUUUUAAUUUAAACCUUUUUAUUUGGUACAAUUGAAGCUUACAUUGAAAAUCAUAUCAAAACCAAAUCUUAGUUAAUAAUAAUUAGUUUGUAAAAUUUUAUUGUUAGUAAGAAUGUUUCCUCAUAAGAUCAAUUUGUCUAAUUCUAAAAAUGAUACAAGAGCUAUGUGUUGAAACUCUGUUACGAAUUUAGCAAGUAAGCGAGGAUUUGAAGAUAGUUAAUUCACGAAAAAACAGUCAAUUCAUGAGAGAAGUAAUCCGAAAUUAAUUUUUCUAAAUUAACAAACUGAAGCCAUUAAAAUAAACAGUUGCACAUAUACUUAAAUGUGGAUUUAUUCUAGGGUGAUAAGGGAGUUAAUAUUAUUUCAUUAAAAAAUAAAACAAUCAGUGUUUAAACAUAAAUGUAUACUACAUCUCGAGAUUUAUACGAUAACUAGGAAAUAGAACCGCACUUCGUGCGGCUUUAAAAAAAAUUAGUAUUAUUUUUUUAUUACUUUGUAAUUGAUGAAAUUAAUAAAAAAUAUGAAUUAUUUUUUUUAAAGAUAACGCAGUCUUAUAAAACUAAUGUUAUUUAUGAAAGUUAAUUAUUUUUUGUUAACAUUAAAAAUAUAUAUUAAUGUGUAUAGUUAAGUGUACACAACCUUUUCAUCAAUAAAAAUUACGUUCAUACUAAUCAACUCCCUAUUUUUCUUGGUAUUAACAGACUCUCACAUCUUACAAAGCCUAACAUUUAUCAUCCAACUAUCUUUAUCAUUGUUUAACUCAUAAAGAAAAUAAUACUCCAUGAAGCACACAAUACUAAAAAUUUAAAUAAGUCAAAAAAUAAAAAACACAAGAACAUUUCUAAAGAGGAUGUUGGUUAAAUAAUAAAAAAAAAACUCAAACAUAACAAAUCUUAAAUGCUUAAUAUUUAUAGAGCUUGAAGAAGGCAAAAGAUACUAAAUAAAAGGUUGCAUAAUUAAAUAUGGGAUUAUGACAUUAAAAUUAGGUCAUAGGGUAUUGGUGAGGGAAGAUGAAGGAACAUUCCUUCCUAUAUUAAUUAGUUGAUGUAUUUUAAACCACUAAAGUUUAGUUGUUGGCUUAAUAAAAUAAAUGAAUGUUUCAAAACUUAUAAUUAAUUUAUUAUUAAUGGUUACAUAUUGUUGAAUUUAAAUAGAAAGAGGAAGAGACAUGUAAUCUUUUGUAAUCUAUUAAUUAUUUUAUAUUUUUAAUAUUUUGUAAUGUAAUUAUUUUUUAAUCUCAACCAAUAUAUUAGAUAAUAGAAAAUAUAAAAAGAUGAGAAAUAAUAAUGCCACAAAUAUUAACUACUUAAUGUUUAUAGAGUUUGAAGAAGUCAAAAGGUACUAAACAAAAGGUUGCAUAAUUAAAUAUGAGAUUAUAACAUUAAAAUUAAACCCUAAUGGCAUUGUUGAGGGAAGAUGAAGGAACAUUCCUUCCUAUAUUAAUUAGUUAAUGUAUUUUAAACCACUAAAGUUUAGUUGUUGGCUUAAUAAAAUAAAUGAAUGUUUCAAAACUUAUAAUUAAUUUAUUAUUAAUGGUUAUAUAUUGUUGAAUUUAAAUAGAAAGAGGAAGAGACAUGUAAUCUUUUGUAAUCUAUUAAUUAUUUUAUAUUUUUAAUAUUUUGUAAUGUAAUUAUUUUUUAAACUCAACCAAUAUAUUAGAUAUUUUCCUAUGUUAAUUAAUUCAUAUAUUUUAAGCCACUAAAGUUUAAUUGCUAGCAUAAUAAAAUAAAUAAAUGUUUCAAAAGACUUAUAAUUAAUUAUUAUUAAUGAUUACAUAUUGUUGAAUUUAAAUAGAAAGAGAAAAAAAAAGUACAAAGAAUAUCCACCAAUAUUUUAGAUAUUUUAUAUAAUAAAAAAUGUAAAAAGAUGAGGAAUGAUAUAUAUUAAUAAAGUUACUAUUUAUUAAAUGAGUUAAAUACAAUCAAAUUAAUUAUGAGAAGAUGAAAAGACAAAUCUAAAAAAAAAAUCUCUAUUUAUUAGAUAAUAGAGAAUAUACAAAGAAGCAAAAUGGUGAUGCCACAUCACCUCCUCAAGUCCUAACUUUAUAUAUAUAUAUAGAUAGAUGGUUUUUCAAACAAGUAAUUUUUUUUUUUUUCAAAAACACUAAAACAAACAAAGAUGUGGAGAAAGUUAAAAGGAAAUAAAAUAUUAUAAAUAUUAGAUGUACAAUGUUACUUUUGCACAGCGUUACUUUUGUUAUUUAUGGGGUGGAUUUAAAAAAUAUAUUCAUUUUAAUCUUUUUUAUGGGUGGAUUUUGUUAAUCAUACGGUGGUGGCUUUACCCAAAAAAAAAUAAAAAUGAGGGGGAAUAUAACCAUCAUUUGGUUAACAUAUGUCUAAGGCUUUGUUUGUUUAAGUUUUUUGGCAACUCACCUGGCAAACUUGCAAAUAUAAUUUGACAACACAACUAAAUAUUUUUCCCAGUUAUCUACAAAGGGUCGGUUUGGUAAUGUUUUAGGUUUUAAAAUAAUUGAUGUUAUCUAUACUAUAAAAAUAAUCAGCUGUAAAAAAAAAUUAGAUAAACAUUUGGUAAAAUUUAUUUUUAAAAGCAUUAUAAAUUUUAAAAAUAAUUGUAUGUGUUUAAUAAAUCUUACUAUAGAGUUGUUGUAAAAAUAUAAAUGAUGGUAUUGGACAUAACGUUCAAUAAAAUUUAUUUACAUAUUUAUAAACAUAUCAUUUUUUAGUCUUGUCUUGGAGACAAGUUUGUCUGUCUUGUCUGUAAUGACAAGUUUUCUUUCGUGAAGUUCCUUGAUUAAAGCUUUCUAGUCAGAAUUUUUGUGACUUUUCAGGUUAGUCAAGUGCAAUGUCAGGAAGAGAGCAGGAGUUUGAAAUCAACAUUGGUUACGCACAUAUCAAUUUGGAGGAAGAGGAGGAAGGAGGUCUGAUUGUAGAAGGAAAUGAUGUUAAUGAGAGUGGUCUAGGGACUAUUGAUUCUCGGUUUUGUUUGGUGGGCAGAUUCCUUACAGAUAAAGUAAUUAACUUCCCUGCCAUGAAGAAUACUAUGGCUUCCUUAUGGCGUCCAGGGAAGGGAGAGUGUAUCAAGGAUUUAUCUUCCAUGUUUUUCCUAUUCCAAUUCUUUCAUGAAGUUGACUUGAAAAGGGUUCUUGAAUCGGGACCAUAGAAGUUUGACCAACAUAUUUUAAUCCUUAAAAGGCUGAAGGAAAAUGAACAACCCCAGAAUGUCCUGUUGUGCUUUACUUCAUUUUGGAUCUAGGUUUACAACCUACCAAUCGGUUUUAUGUCUGAAAAAAUUCUGAAAGAUAUUGGCAACUAUAUAGGCACUUUUUUGGAGUCCGAUGCAUAUAAUCUAAUGGGGGUUUGGAGAAACUACAUGCGCAUACGAGUGUCUAUAGAUGUUAGGAAACCUUUUAAACGAAGGAUGAAAAUGAAAAAAGUGGGCGGAGACUGGAUUUGGGUUGAUUUUAAAUAUGAACGUCUAAAUAUUUUUUGCUUUAUUUGUAGAUUACUUGGCCAUACUGAAAAGCAGUGUCCCAAAUUGUAUGAUUGCCCUCCUGGUGAAAUUGUAAAAUGCUAUGGUCACUGGGCUGAAAGCACUAAAUAAAAAGAAUGCAAUGAAUUCCGGUGAACGGUGGUUGCGGUCAGUACCGCUGGGGGAAGAUGACAAGGAAAAAGGAAGGAGCGUGGAUGUCAUAGUUACCAUGGUAAUUGAUCCGGUUUUGGCCACGAAUCAAGGAGAUGUUAUACGUAAGACUAUUGAUGGGAACGAGGAUGUGGGGAUUAUGGUAGCUAGUAAGGAAGGUGAUAUUUUGUUGCCAACUAGGACUCCACCAAGUGUGAAAGGAAAGCAAGUUAAGGGGACAACUAAUGUGAUUGAUUUCAACGAAGAUUCUGGGGAUGAAAUGGAUGAGGGGCUAAUUGUUAAUGAUGCUAAAAGGAGAAGGUAGCUAGUUAGGUCAUGCAGCAAAGUGGGAUUUGAAGGAGAGGUUACUUCCUAAUCGAUGCUUUUGGAAUCAAUUUUCAAAGACGGACCAGCGAUGGGCCCUGUCGUUCAGGCCCACCGAGACCAAUGAGUGUUUUAAGCUGGAACUGCCGUGGGCUUAGCCAACCACGGACAAUCAAAUGUUGGAGGAGUUGGCCAAACGUAAGAAACCAAUUUUUAUUUUUCUUAUUGAAACAUUGUGUAAUCGAAGGAAGUUGGAAGGUUUAAAAACAAAACUGGGCUAUGAAGGUUUAUUCACAGUUGACCUAGUGGGCCGGAGUAGAGGUCUUGCUCUCUUUUGGAAAGCAAACAGCAACAUUAGAUUAUUAAAAUUUUCUAAGAACUGUAUUGAUGUGGAGGUUGAGUAUCAGGACAUGGGCAAGUGGAAGAUAACGGGCUUCUAUGGGUUCCCGGAGUCUAGCCACCGUCAAGAGUCUUGGGAUCUUCUACGCACUUUAGCUACUGUGUCUUCCCUUCCCUGGGUAUGCAUCAGGGACUUUAAUGAUCUUUUAGCUGCUCAUGAGAAGCGAGGGAAGAAUGAGCACCCAAAUUGGAAGUUGCAGGGGUUUAAACAAGCUGUGGUUGAUAGUGGCCUCAGUGAUAUUGGCAUGGAGGGUUAUCAAUUUACUUGGGAACGGUCUAGGGGUACAGAGAAUUGGGUGGAGGAAAGAUUGGACAGAGUUCUUGCUAUUGAUCCUUGGAUUCGUCGAUUCAAAGAAGCACGGGUUUGGAGUCUUCAAUCUUCUACCUCAGAUCAUCUACCCAUUUUUAUGGACCCAAAUCCCUUAAAUCAUUCUCAUAGGCAUUGAAGAUUUUGAUUUGAAAACAUAUGGCUUAGAAAAGGCUGAUUGUACAGAUGUGAUUCAGGCUAGUUGGUCCUCCUCUCAUGGGAUUGCAAUUCAACAAAAGCUUCUAAAUUGUGGGAUUGCGUUGCUUAAUUGGGGAGGUCACUUAGCUGGUGACUUUCGCAAUCGUAUUUUUGACUAUAAAAGGAAAAUGUCUCUUUUGCGGGGGCAUCGUGAUUCAGCUGGUAUUGUGGAGUUUACUGAGGGUAGGAAGGGGUUUAAUGAGCUUCUCCAUAGUCAGGAGGUUUUCUGGAAGCAGAGAUCAAGGUUACUUUGGCUCAAAGAAGGGGAUAUGAAUUCUCACUUCUUCCGUACUAUGCCUUCAACAAAAAAAUGUAGGAAUUCUAUUUCAACUCUUCGAAAUGCUCAAGGUCAGUCGUGUACCACCUCGGCUGAAAUUGAUGCUCUGAUUUAUGAUUAUUUCUCUAAGCUAUUUACUGUUGAUGGUUGCCAAAAUGAUGAAGUUUUAAACUGUGUAAAGACAAAGAUUACUGAUGAGCAAAAUGAGUUGCUGUUAGAGCCUUUUUCAACAGGCGAUGUCAAAGCGGCCCUCUUCGAAAUGCAUCCAGACAAAUCAUCAGGACCUGAUGGUAUGAAUCCUGCCUUUUACCAACGAUUUUAGCUUACUGUUGGUGAGGAUGUGACUGCAGCUUGUUUGCAUUUUAUUAAUACUUGCUCAUUUCCGAUGGGUUUAAAUGACACCUCUAUUGUAUUAAUCCCCAAGAAACCAAAACCGGAGAUGCUGUCAGAUAUGAGGCCUAUUGCUUUAUGUAAUGUUCUGUAUAAGAUUGUAGCUAAAAUGCUCGCAAAUAGAAUGAAGUCAGUCAUGGGUUCUGUGGUUUCUGAAUUUCAAAGUGCGUUUGUGCCGGGUCGGGCCAUCACAGAUAAUAUCCUUAUCUCCUCUGAAAUUAUGCAUUUUUUUGAAGAGAAAGCGACAAGGAAAAUUUGGAGUUGCUACUCUUAAAAUUGAUAUGUCGAAGGCCUAUGACCGAAUUGAAUGGGAAUUUUUGGAAGCUAUGAUGCUUAGGCUGGGGUUUAAUGCUAAAUGGGUGAAGUUGAUUAUGCUAUGUGUCUCUAUAGUUCGUUAUCAUGUUUCUCGCGAUGGGAAGGAGAUUGGACUUAUCAUUCCAGGUAGAGGGCUUCGCCAAGAGGAUCCUUUAUCGCCGUAUUUAUUCAUUCUUUGUGCGGAAGGUCUCAAUACGUUAAUCCGUAAACAUGAGUUGGCUGGCUUGAUUCAUGGGGUAAAAGUUGCUCAAGGGGCUCCUGUUGUAUCUCAUCUAUUUUUUGCAGAUGAUUGUUUUAUGUUUUUCAAAGCCAACCAAAGUGAAGCUCGCUUAAUUAAGCACAUUCUUACGACUUAUGGUCAAGGGUCAGGACAAUUGGUGAACUUUAACAAAUCUUUCAUUUCUUUCAGUUUGAAUGUUAACGAAGAUGUGAAGGGGCUUAUAUGUGAUACUUUGGAGGUUACUGCUACUACUAACCAUGGCACUUAUCUUGGAUUACCCUCUCUUGUUGGUAGGAACAAAAAAGAAGUUUUUCGAUCUAUCUAUGACAGAGUAUGGCAAAAGCUUCACAGCUGGAGUAUGAGGAUGCUGUCAAGAGCUGGGAAAGAAAUCCUGUUAAAAACAAUGGCUCAAGCUAUCCCGAAUUAUGCCAUGCAAGUUUACCUUCUGCCUCUUGAUCUUUCUAGAGAGCUCGAAACUACGAUGAACUCAGUUUGAUGGAGAAACAGCUGCAAUGGUGGAGGUGGCAUUCGCUAGAUGAAGUGGAAGUUUUUUUGCGAACCAAAGACACAUGGAGGAAUUGGCUUAAAAAAUCUACAUGACUUCAAUGUGGCCAUGUUGGGGAAGCAAGUUUGGAAACUUUUAUCGAAUCUGAAGUCUCUUGUUGGCCAAAUUUUCAAAGCUCGUUACUUCCCUCAUACAUCUAUUACAGAGGUUGAUUUGGGUUAUAAUCCAAGCUUUGUGUGGAGGUCUCUAAUGGCAGCUAAGCAUAUUGUUGUUCGUGGUAGCAGGAUUCAGAUUGGUAGUGGUCAGAAUUGUAUUAUUGGGUCAGCUCCUUGGCUUCCAGACGCAGAUAACGGCUUUCUUUCCACCAGCUUACCUGAGUAGAAAACAACAGUACCAGUUAGUAGUUUAAUGGCUCCUGAACAACGUCAAUGGGAUUAUGAUGUAGUGGCAGAUUUAUUUAACGCUCGAGACAGGAAUCUUAUUUUACAAAUUCCCCUUAGUGCUCGGAGGGAUAAGGAUGUGUGGUAUUGGUUGGCAGAUCCUCAUGGUUUAUAUACAGUCCGCAGCUAUUAUAAAUUACUUAAUCAUUGUGCUACUACCCCAACAUCUGGUGUGUGGAGGAAAAUAUGGAACUUGGAGGUGCCUAAUAAGGUGAAGAAUUUUCUUUGGAGGGCUACUAUGAAUGUGCUACCAACAAACGAUAAUCUUAUUUGGAGAAGCGUUGAGGUAAUGCCUAUUUGCUCCCUCUGCAAUCAGCAGAAUGAAUCUGUUGUGCAUGCUUUGGUGAAUUGUGUCUUUGCUCAAAUAUGCUGGAUUUCUUCUUCACUUGGCUUUGCUGGUCAUCACUCUUCAUUUUUUAGUUGGCUAGAUCAAGUCUUUGCCCGCUGUAGUAAGGAGAUGUGCAAUCUUGUUGCUAUGAUAUGUUGGAAAAUCUGGUUUCGCAAGAAUGGAAAAGUUUGGAAUAACAAAGUUUGCAGUGUGCACUAUAUCCUUAACUCUGCUGGGACUUAUAUGUUUCAAUGGCAAACAGCAAGGAAACAAUCUGUUUUCAUUGAUGUUGAUUCUUUCCAUGGUUGUCAUGGGGCUGUUUGCUAGGAGAAACCACAUCCUGGUUGGCUCAAGUGUAAUGUUGAUGCUGCAACAUUCUCAGCUCAGGGGAAAGUCAACUAUGGAGGAGUUAUCCGCCAUUCUGAGGGGGUUUUUGUGGAUGCUUGUUGUGCCUGCGUGAGUGGAAGCUUUGGUGCAAGAGAUGCUGAAGCGUUUGGUGUGCGGGAGAUUCUAAGCUGGAUUAAGCAACGACAUUUGUCUUGCGUUGUUGUUGAGAUGGAUUGUUUUCAAGUCUUUAAAGCUCUCACAGAGAACUAUUCUUGUCCUAAUGGUUAUGACCUAAUUCUUGAUGAUUGUAGAGCUUUAGCUCGUUCUUUAGGAGAUAUUAAAUUCUCUUUUGUCCGAAGGUCUGCGAAUACUGCUGCCCAUGUUGUUGCACGGGUGGGGGGUUCUUUGUCAGGCCCUGGAGAGUGGAGUAAUGUUCCAUCUUCCUGGUUAAUUGUUUAUCUGUCUUCUGUUUCCAGUUAAUACAUCUAUCAAGUUUUAUUAAAAAAAAAAACAUAUUUCCGCCUUGGCCGUACAGCAGGAUAAUUAAAAUAAAUAUUUUAUAUUAUUAUUCUUAUUUUUAUCUCAAUAUAAUUGGUAAUAAUAAUAAUCUCUUUAAAGUUAAUGAUUUAAUUUCCUAAUUAAUAAUGACAAAUUUGAAUUUUUAUAAUAUAAAUGAAGAUAUUUAUGGAAUUGCCUGAAGUAUAAAAUUGAUUCUCAAAAUAAGAUUUUGAAAAGUCACUCCUCACCUUUUUAAAAAUUUACUAUAGAAUAAAGUGAUUUUACCAAAUUUCUAAAACAAUUUGUGAAACACUAAAAUUAGUUUUUAACUUUUCAAAAUUACUUAUAAACCUUCCAAAAAUAAUUUGUUAAAUGGGCCCUAAGAAAUAAGAUCCAAGAGUGAUAACAAAUAACUAAACCCCCAUUAACUUACACUUGACAUAUAUAACUUUCAUAAUAAUAGUAGUUGAAGACCAUAAUACCAUAAUAUCAAAUGAAACUUAAAUCUAAACAAGUUAUAAUACCGUAAUAUCAAAUGGAACUUAAUUUAAACAAUUUAACUCAUAUAGCAAUGAUGUAACUGUAGUAUGAAAUUUAAUCUAACUAAAAAAUAUAAAAAUUUUAAAUUUACUCUUUUGUGUAGAUAAUUCAUAUAAAUCAUUUUAAAAAAUGAAGAACAUCAAAGGCAAAGCGAGAUUUAAGAAGAUAGUAGGUAUUGAACCUUGAAUGUGACCAUGAGAGAUAGUGAGAAAAUUAUUGGCCUUAACCAAUUAAAUUAAAUUGGUUUAAAAAGGAAGGGAAAAAAAGAAGAAGCAUAGCCAAUCUAAUUGGGUUUAGGAUACUAAAAUUGAAAUUGAAUCAAUUUUGAUUCGACCCACUUGGUUGACGACUAAACUAGAUUUGAUUUGAGGGUCCGGCUAUAUUGCAACUGUGGUACCGUGCCACAGUUGCAACCAGCCAUUGUAUCCACUUGGAUGAGGGGUGCAACAGUGGAUCCAAGUGGAUCCAAUGACUGGUUGCAACUGUGGCAGGGUACCACAGUUGUAACAUAACCAAGUCCUUGAUUUGAACACCCGUACAUGUCCAACAAUGAAUUUGAACUUAUAAAAGAUUUAAUGUGUCCUUUAAUUUAAAAUUGAUUUGCUUUAGUUUUAUUGAUUUAAAAAAGGGGGAAAAUUCCAACAAUCAACCUUUUAAAAAUUUACAAUAUUAAAGUUCCUAAAAAGGUGCAUUUGUGUGACAACGGAUUAAUCGGUAUGAAAAUUAGUUUCAUAAACUAUGAUCAAAAUUAUUAGACUCGUUAUCAUUAUUUUUGGUCAAAUUCAAGGUUAAUUUUGAUAAUUAUUUAAAACUUAAAUAAAAAAUCACGUAACCAUGAUUGAAGUUGGGAAAUUCUAUUGAUUUUACAAAAUAUAUAUAUCUCAAUUAAACCAAAAUUUUUUCAUUAUUUCAAUUAAAAUUCAGUCAAAUUUUACGUUCUCACAAUUAUAUAAAUUUAAGAAAAGUUGAAAUUUCUUUCCCAACCUCUUAGUUUGUCGUUCAAUUUAAAAUAGAAAUAUAAUCACAUUAAAUUGAUUUAACAAUAAGUUACUUAAUAAAUAUUUAUUUAGUCCCUAUAUUUUGAUUUAAUCACCUGUUUAGUAUCUAUAUUUAAAAAGUACCUCAAAAUACCUUUUUAGUUAAAUAUGUUACAUUCUUACCAUUGUUUUUCUUUACUUUUACAAUAAUACUACUAGAAUAAUAUUCUUGACACUAAUUAAUUUAUUUAUAAAAAUUUAAUUAAUGAAUUAACCAUUAUUAAUAUGGAAGAACUAGUAUUUUUUGAACCCAUGCAAUAGUCUUGUUAAUAAUUUAUGUAUAAAUAAAUUAACAUCAGCCAAAUUAAAGUAAUAUUUAAUAUCCUUACAAUAAUUUUACUAUUAGGUAUUUAUAAAAUAUUAAUUUACCAAAUUACACCUAAAAGUAAAAUAAUAACAUAAAAUUUAUGAAAUAUUUUAUUUUAUUUUUAAGGCUAAUUUGAUAAAUUAGUAUUUUUUUAAUAAUAUCCCCAAGAAAGUAUGAAUAUUAUUGUAGGGGUAUUAUUAUAAAAGAAAAGAAAAACAAGGGUAUGAGUGUAACAUAUUUAAUAAUAAAAAGUAUUUUAAAAUAUGUUUUAUAAUAUAGGAAUUAAAUGAGCAUCUAACUCAAAAAGUAUGAUGAUUAAACAAACAUUUAUCAUAAUUAUUUUUAUAGAAAAAUAUCAGUAAAAUAAAAAAAAAAUUAAUUAAACAUGAUUUUUGGUAAUUAGGCGAGAGAUAUGCUCCAAAAUUUAGCAACAAAACAAAAAGUAUAUGUCGUGCAUGAGCGUGGAUUGUAAUGGAUGAGGAUGCAUGGGUUAACGUAUUAUACCGUUGCCACGUGUAAGCAGUUUGUUGGUGGUGAGGUGAUAGAGUUACCAGAGCUGUUAUUAUCCAAUGCGGUGACAGACACACAGGCUCCUUGAGAAGGGCAUCAUUCUAAACGUUGCACGAGUGCCGCAAACGCAAAAAGGCACACGUAGGGAAAUAUAACACUCGCGUCCUUUAAAUGCCACGUGUCUUCAUGAAACGGUGUCGUCGUCAGCUGUUUCGAGACUAUUCAAACUUGGUUUCAUGAAUCGCGAUCAUGUAUGUAUAGAUAAAAAUGAAAGUUGAAAUUGGGUGGAUGGAGAUUGUGAAGACGAAAAGGACAAAGAAAAAUCUAUCCAUCACGUGCGCAAAUUGGAUUUAUAUACAAUUAAAAGCCAAAAAGAAAUAAAAUCAAACAUCAUCUAAUAACCAAAAUUUUUAUUUUUCUUUUAGAAAAAGGUUUAGUUAAUAAAUGAACAUUUUGUAAAAUUCUUGUUUAAAAAGGGCACGUCUUUGUUGACAUUCACGUUUCGAAUUUCGAAAUUGCAUGUGUAAUGGGAUAGAAAUUUAGGUAAAAAACAAAAGUCUGUGGCUGCAUUCUAUAAACAAAGGUGGUCACGUGAUUGACCUGCAACGUAAAUCAUAUAAAAAAACCACAUUAUGAUUGAUGGAUUGCUGUUACACCAGACCGAUAAAAGGUUGUUGUUACACCUUUAUUAUUUUUAAUUUUUUUGAAUUAUUAUUUAUAGUAAAUAGGGUUUUGCUAAGGUAUAUCGAAUGUAACUUAGAACAAAUACAGGAUUCAUGAUUUCUCACUAAUUUCAUAUAUUAUCAUUCUCUUGUAUUGAGUAACUACUUUUGAGUUGUUAGCUUGGGAGGAAAUUUGGAAGCUAACAUGCACUAAUAACUUGAUGAGAUGUGGCUAAAAAAAGUCAAUUAAAUUAGAGUUUGCUAAUUUGACUAAAUGAUAGGAUAGCUUAUGAAUGUUAGAAGAUAAGCUCUUAGGGAAAAAGGAUAAUUAUGGUAAAUAUGCUCAAACACCAACGAGUAUUAUCAAAACUCAAAUUUAGCAGUUAGAGCCAACAUGUGAACAAUGUAUGCCAUCAUAAAAAAAAUGAAAUAUUUCUUUUUUGGGCUAAAAAGGAAGAACUAAUAAUAAUAAAGAUUAUUUUCAUAAAGCAAUAAGAGGGAAUCACAUUGUUGUCCUUUGAUAUCGCUUGAAAAGUAGAAGGAUCACAAUGUUAAAAGUAGGGAUGUUCAGAAUCCAAUCCGAUCCGCUCAAUCAGUCUGAUCCGCUGAAUUCGAUCCGUAUAAAUCCGAUCCGUGGAUUGGUGGAUUGGAUAUGAAUUGAAAAUUUAAAAAUCCGCAGUCGAUGGAUUAGAUAUGAAUUUACUUCUUGCAGAAAUCCGUGAAUCCGCAAAAUAUAUAUAUAUAAUUAAAAAAUUAUUAUAAAUUUAAUUAAAAAAUUAUAAACGUGACAUUGCAUAGUUACUAAGCACUAUAACAUAUCUUAGCCAUUACCCAAUAAUAAUAUAAAAUAAAAAAUAAUUAAAUAAUCAAAUAUACAAAUAUAACUUGUAAAAAUUGUAAAACAAAAUAAAAGUAGAGUCACACGCACUAGCAAAAGCAAAAUAACAUAACGCCAAGUCACCAACAAUUUGCAAACAAAAAACCCUAAGCUCCCCCGCCGUCACACACACUAGCAACACUCAAUACUGGUUGGAUACACUCUCGACACAAAUUUAAAGGACAUCGGCCGCGCGAUUCUGGUGAGAGCAAACCAUCUUCUUUCCUAAGUCCAUCGAGCCACUUCACAUUCACUGGUUCCAGCAGAACAAUUUCACUAUCACAACCUUCAAGAUUGCCACCCGUACGGCUUCUCCUGGUUCCCAUCAUGGAUGGCUCUGUAAUCACUACUUUUCGACAGGCGCAACAGCCCUGGUGAAGGAUCAGACUGUGUUUGGUUUCCGAAACUUCAUCAUUUCAAUUAAUUGUGACUUUAUUUGAACAAUUAAUUUCGGUACUAUAUUAACAUAUUAUUGUAACUUUAUUUGAACAAUUAAGCUUGGUGUGUUAUAUUUUGAAACUUUGAACGUAUUAUUGUAGCUUUAUUUGAAUAAUUAGUCUCAAUGUGUUAUAUUUUGAAACUUCAAAUGUAUUAUUUUAGAUUUAUUUAAAUAAUUAAUUUAUUUAAAAUUUAUUCAAUUUUUUAAUUGGUAGUCCGCAGACGUAUGGAUUGGAUAUGGAUUGAGUUAAAUCCGCAUCCGAUCCGUAGAUGUAUGGAUUGGAUUUGGAUUGAAUUUUAUCAAUCCGUGGAUUGGAUUAGAUUGAAAAAUUAUAAUCCGUAAAAUCAUGGAUCAGAUAUGGAUUGAUGUCCAAUUUGUAAAAUCCGAUCCGCGAACACCCAUAGCUAAAAGCAUGCAACGUGGCGAAUUAUAAAGUCAAAAAAGAGGCUGAAAGUU
rnacentral:lncRNA from 1 species